CUGUUUGGGAGGCAGCAAAUCUAUGUAUAAUGCUAAACCCUGCUUUAAUGGUUUUGGAAAUAAUUUGAAACAGCUUAACAGGAUGUAGUUAAGUUUGUAGUAUUAGAAUUUUGUUUGUUUGUUUUUUAAAGCCGUGUCACCUGAAAAAUCAAGGAAUCCACCUAGUUAGAUGUUGCUUUAUCUGACUUUAGAGACUGGCAAUAUUUUGUACUGGCCUUGCCUGUGAUGACUGCUGGGAAAGUUGAAGGAACAACCUGGUUACUUAAAGUCUCCGCUGAUGAGACCCCAAUGACUUCUUAAUAACCUUCUCAAAGUCAUUAAGCCCUAAAUCUGAAUGUAAGUAAUUUUCUCAUAUCCUUCCCAAGAAUCAGUGUGGAAGGACCAUUUGGUUGGAAUUAGUUGCACAGAGCAUUGGACUUUGCAUAAAUAGUGGACCAUUUCAUUCAGUAUAGAUCCCAGUUUGUGGGUAACCAGCUUCCAUAUAAGGAUGGUAUCCAUUUGGUUUAAAAAAAAAAAUCAAGAGUUAAAAAUAUUACUCUUAGCAUUUAACAAAUUCUUUAGUUUUCUUGUUUUGUAGUCUACGUUUUACCAGGUAGGCAGAGAAACUCCUAUAGACUAUUCUUGUCAGUUAAUACUUCAUCUGUUAAAAGUAAUGGAACAUUUAGCCCCAUUUUCAUAAGAGCUACUACCUAAUUUGGCUUUAAGGUUUGAGGUUGGGAGUACUUGGACAUUUGUAUCAUAGUCCAAGCAGUAAUUAAGGGAAUCCUAAAUUCAAGAAGGUGAUCUUCCUUUGGAAAAGAGAAACCCAAUACCUUAUGACAGGAAGACAUAUUUAAUGCAAGGAGAAAACUAAGACUUAGACAUAGAGUUACUUUCCUUUUGCAUAUUUUACAUUAUUAUAUGUGUGUAUCUGGUUAUACUGUUAAGUUUCCCAUGGUCUGUUUCCCCUACAAGUAGAACAGAUAGCUCCCCUGUACAUGUGUGGUAGUUCUGGCCAGUUCAGCCUUGACUUGGCUACUUUGAACUUGUAGUUGAUCCCAAAGCUUUCACUGACAGUCUCUGUUAAACUUAAGUGUUAUAGUCUUUGUUCUAGUAAAAUCUCUGUAAUGUUUAAUAAAGACUAAAUAAAAAGACUGUAUAAUUAA